rnacentral:rRNA from 1 species
UACGUAGGCAGCGAGCGUUGUUCGGAGUUACUGGGCGUAAAGGGUGUGUAGGCGGUUGUUUAAGUUUGGUGUGAAAUCUUCCGGCUCAACUGGGAGGGUGCGCCGAAUACUGAAUGACUUGGAGUGCGGGAGAGGAAAGUGGAAUUCCUGGUGUAGCGGUGAAAUGCGUAGAUAUCAGGAGGAACACCGGUGGUGUAGACGGCUUUCUGGACCGUAACUGACGCUGAGACACGAAAGCGUGGGUAGCAAACAGG